CACACACACACACACACACACCAGCUGCCCUUAUAUAACCUUGACAUAAUUUCCUUUUAGAAAGGGCAUUCAAGGAAGAAAUCCUCAUAAAGAUAUCACAGCUGCCUCCUGCCACUGGAGCAGAGGGACAGCUUUUGAAUUGUGGGAAAGCAGGCAGCAAAGUCAGGGCUGAGCUCAUGCUCCGGGCAGCCUAUGGUGUACAGCAUAGGAUGUGUAAGAGUAAAAUGUGCGCAUAACUGCACAAGUCAACAUACCUUGACUCCUGCAGGCAGGAAGUACACAAUCAAAGAACAGGGUAGAGAACAAAGACCUCCCGAUCUUAUCAGGCAUUGCCUGGAUCAUUUUAUCCAGCCUGUGCUGCCCUUCUCCUUCACACCCUGGCAAUGUUACUUUCCAUCUGGACUCCCAGUUGCGAGAAGCCUUUUCCACACAGGGCCCAUGAAUGCUGAUUUCUGUUGAACUGCGCCCCCUUUCCAGUCUUGCCCUGUUGUGGGUCUUGUUAGACAUAGUUAGAAAGUGAAAGCCUUUCCAGGAUUUCACUGAUCUCAUGGUCUACUGUGACCAAAAGCUUGAGACAUUUCAAAUAAAUCCAGGUGUGCACACCUGUAAUCCCAGCACUAAGGAAGUGGGGACAGGAGGAUUGGCUCUCCUCAAAUACAUAAUGAGUUUGAUACCAGCUCUACGGUAUGAGUAAGCCUGCCUCAGAAGCGAGACAAACAUCCAGCACUGGGGAGGCAGGAGAAUAUCUGUGAGUUCACAGCCUAUUCUACAUAAUGAGAUCCAGAACAGAAAGGACUACAUAGAGAGUCCUUCAUCAGCCAACCUCAGGGCCUUUGCACCUGCCCAUAAUGCUCCUCUCUGCCCUCUUCACUAGGCUCCGGUUGCUGCGAAACAGUACCACCCCUGGGCAUCUGGUGCAUGCAACUUCUUGUUCGAGGUUCCAUCACCUUCUGACCUCUUCAUCCCAUUGCUUAGUUCUAAAACAUUCUAGUCUUUAAAAAAAAAUCUACCGUGAUUAUUGGCUUAUUUCAACUUCCUGAUUUAUACUUAGUUUCCCAACAGAAGUUAUUUAAUAAAUAUUUGCACUUCAGGAGAGUUACAUUUUUAACUGUGGUGUAUGUGUGUGUGAGAGAGAGAGAGACAGAGAGACAGAGAGACAGAGAGAGACAGAUACUCAUACCACAGUAUGCAUAUGGAAGGCAGAGGACCACUGCUGACUCUUGGCUUAUGUCUUACUUGAAGCAUAGUUUCUUAGUUGCUUGCCCCUCACAUAUCGGACUCUCAGGCCUGUGAGCUUCCUGGAGUCUCCUAUCUCAGACUCACUCCAAUCUUGCCACAGGGCCACUGGGAGAGCAAGCACACAUACCUGGCCUUAUGUGGGUUCUGAGGAUUUAGGCUCAAGUCCGAACUAAUAAGUAACUGUACUGUGGUCUUAAGCUGUUGACUAAGUUGCCACCCACAACCUACUUGACAUGAUUACUUCAACUCAUCUAUGAUUAAAAUUAUCACCUUACUCCCAUUGUGUUCUUCCAAGCAGGAAGACUGAAAUAUCAAGUGAUGAGUAACCCAGGCUUACACCUUUGUGAUCGAUUUAAAGAUCAGUUUUGUAAUUCCCAGGACACCUUGAAUUCUUGCGAGCAUCUGGUAUUAACUAUUUGUGAAUCCAAGAGCAGCUGACAUUUAAAAUCUAGCAGAUUUUCUUUGGAACUUUAACUUAAAUUUCAUAAUGACUUUAGACUUUUGGUUUGGAUAUGAAGUUGCACCAUUUAACCAAGCCUGUACUUGACUAUGGUAUGCUCUAUACAUCAGUUGUGGGGGGAAAGCAUUAGAAGAACACGGUAGGGCAGAGUGAGGCCCUGCUGUAGACCUAUUAGUGCUGGUGACAUGGACUGGAUUGUGUCUUCUUUCUGUUCCCUUUGUGUUCUCCACAGCUCUUCCUCCAUCCGGAAACAUGGCUUCAUCCUGCUGUCCUUGAGGAUUUCAGCCUGUUCCUUUUGCUCUGUUAGCUGGCCAACAUCCAUGGAGCCAAUUCCAAAUACGGAAUCUCUACUAUGAGAAGCAUCUGGCUUACGCCCGGUUCUUGGUGCCGUGUCGGUGUGGGCAUCGACAAAUGGAGGUUCCACCAAGAUCAGAGAAGAGAAGAUUUCUGAAGGCUGGCCAGUGAGGAAGCAGGGACAUAUUGGGGCAGUUUUCAAAUGAAGCCAAAGAGUGAUGGACGAAUUGCCCACGUUUCCCUUGACAGCAGCACGAAAGGCAUCGGUGUUGGGAUGGGCAUUUGGAGGAUCUGGGUAUGAAGCCAUUGAGUUCCAGAGUUUACAGGACAGAUUGAUGAGGUUUAAUGGUUCCGCUUGUGUGCCUCCUUCUUCAGGGUCCUUUGUCAGGAAGACUGGAGUCCCUGUCUCCUUUCAUGAGCCUCCUCCUGAUCUUGGUGACACAGCCUUAGUAAGUACUAUUUUCCCAGGCCCCAUCAUGCUGGCUCUCCUUGGGAGUAUUUUUUCUUCCUGGAAUGCCUGGAAUUACUGGAAUGCUAUUUACCCACAAACUGCCUUCAACUAGUCAUUUCCUACCUAUUCAGCAACUGUCCUGGCUUGCUUCCCCUGCUCUGAGACACACUCUGACUAAAAGCAAUUUGGGAGGAAAGGGUGUGGGUUUGGGGGUGAGGGGUUUGCUUAGGCAUCUGUCACUAUCAGAUGCCAAGACAGGACUGUCCUUAACUGUACUGCUCCUCUUGGCUCAUUCAGCUUCAUUCUUACCCAACCCUGGCCACCUGUUCAGGAGUACCAGCUGCAGUGAGUUGGACUUUCCCUUAUCACUGAUUAAUCAAGUGAAUGCUCCAAAGAAGUGCCCCCAGAUCAGUUCUCAGUGGACGUUCUCUUCGACCUGGUGACUCUUGUUUUGUGAAGUUGACCCAAAUCAACCAGCACAGUGGCUCACCUAUGGAGUUUUCAGGCUUCCUUAACUGGACAAGAGAAUUGGCUUCACUGCCUUUCUCCAUAAUUAUCUGUUAUUCUUUGGCUUCAGACUCUGCAACAAGGGACUGAGAGAACUAACUUACCAGAUGGUGCGGAACCCGGGAGGAGUUGGGUCCCCAGUCUGAUGGCUCCAGUCUUUCCUGCCUGUCCAGGGACCACUUCUCUGCCCCUAUCAGUCUGGAGACAUCAUUUCUUCGGACUCUAGCCAUGCAGUCAUCACCUCCUCACUGGGAUUCUGGAUCUUUGCCAACUCUUGAUCAGCAUGACAUCCUCAGGACCAGCUUGACUCCGACUGCUGCAAUAUCCACAAUUAAAAAGGACCAGCCCCUACUGCUGCUGAGGCCAGGACCUGUGCCAUCAUCUGUGAAUAUACUGCUUCCACAGCAACAAAUUCUAACUGGGUUAAAACAGGGUCAAAAGAGACAAGACAGGCAAAAGUCUCUUGUGAUUCUCUCAGGCUCUGGCCCCUCCCUGGCUCACUCCUUUCUCCUUUAUUGUUCUCAUAUUUAUGUUGUUACCUUGUCUUUAAAUAUUUUACCUACCGAACUUCCCCCACCUUGCCCUACAACAGCUCCAUUUAUUCCUGAUGCAUCUGCACAAAGACCUUCUAUAUGCCAUAGAGAUACUUUGACUAAAGGGAUCUUCUUCCCUUUCAGUCCAGGCCAGAAGCAAUUCCUUACAUCAGUCCUCUAUUUUCUCCAGCUCCCUGCCUUUGCUGCUCUGUGCUCCCUGCUACUUCUGCUGGCUCAGUUUCUGUGAAGUGUGUUGGCGAUGGGAACAGUCGCUGUCACCUUGAAUCAACUCAGUGCCCACUUCCUGUCACUUUCCCUCUCCAUUUCUUCCAAUCCCUCAGUUUCACCAGGAAGUCUUUCAGUUUCACUCCAAAGAUGAGACAUCUGCUUAUGACCCUCUAAUAAGCAUUUCCCAUGUCUCCUCAGGAAUACAAGACAGCAGUCACCUGAUCCACUGCGCCUCAUCAAGUUAAGACUCUGCCUUUCUGGUAAAGACCCUCUUCAACAGAAAACAGCUAUAACACCCCUGCCUCACACUUGUAUAUCCUGUCAGAGUUAGGAAGUAUAACUUCUUGCUGAAAGACUACACUUGCCUUGCUGACUAUGAAGUCAUUUCCACCCCAGUAAGAGGCCACACCCCAUCUUCUUCUGUAGGAACCUUGGCCAUCUGCACAGAUUGAGUGGCUAAUCUGCUUCCCUGCCUGAAUGAAUGUGAUCCCACCUAAGGGCAGACCCAGCCUCUCUUCCUUCCACCUCCCAUCUCUCCACAGCUGCCUUUAGUAACCUAACAAUCACAAGAAAGAACCCUGUGUUUGUGAGUGCAUCUUUGGCCCAUGCGUCUCUGCUCUUCCCCCACCUGUAGGUCUAGUAGAGCUCGAUGUUCCAGGCUUUUCAGGUUGCGAGGCAUUCUUAGUGAGUACUAAAUGCCCAUAAGCUAAAGAAGUAUGUCUGACACUCUAGUGUGGUUUUUCCUGGGUUUUUUUUUUUUCCUUCCCCAGUUCCAGAAAUUAAUGCAGGCCUGUGUGUGCUGGUCUGCCUCCUAGUCUGAAUGAGUCUGUUUAAUUUCUUUUCCUAUAGUUAUUUCUUUUACUGCCUAUGGAGGAGUGGUUUGCCUCUGUGUAUGCCUUCGUGCACCAUGCAUGUGCAGGGCCCAUGAAAAGGAAGGAAUUGGAUCCCCAGAACAGAGUUACAGAUUGCUGUAAACCACCACGUGGGUCCUGAGAAUCAAACACUGGUCCUCUGCACAAGCUGUUAAGUGUUCUGAGCUGCUGAGGCAGCUCUCCAGCACCUAAGUGGGUUUUUAUUUUUUCUUUAACUCCCUCUUCAUGGAUGGUGAUAGAGUGCCUCACCCGUGAAACAGGAUUUCUGCAAGGUGACAGACAAUCUCACUCCUCCUUGCCUGGCUGUCCUAGAAAGAAGUAUCUGUUGGAAUGUCCUGUCUCACCCUGGGUGAGCAAGCACGGGAGAGAGACCACAGGGGAACUUGGUGCAACUCUUCCAGACCUCAUCCCAUCCCAUAAAGGGUUACGGCCAUCUUUUUUUGUCUCUGGGAGACCAUUCAAUUUCCCUCAAGAGAGAUUCUGCCUCUUGCCCUGUAUCUCUUGAAGGUCCCUUGUCUCUUUUAUGCAUCCUGUCCCUUUAAGCAGCCGUAGUUCUCUAAGAGGUAGAAUUGCUGCUUUUCAUGGCACAGUAGAGAUUGUUUUCGUCUCGAAGAGGGUGUUGACUGAACUGAUCAGUAGAAUCAGACGUUUCUAGCUGCCAAUAUGUCCAUUUUCUUCUAUUUAUUUUAGUAAAGGGCCAAGCUCUUACGUGUUCUUUCAACCUGUACAGAGCAAGAUUAAAACAGAGGGCAAAAAGAGAGGCUGGUAUGAGUUUGAGCACAGUGGAGUCUGUCUUAGCAUUUGCUUUUUGAAGUGGUGUGUGUGUGUGUGUGUGUGUGUGUGUGUGUGUGUGUGUCAUGUGCACAAGUGCCAUGUGCAUGAACCCCGAGAAGGAGGAAGAAGUGCUGGAGUUCCAGGCAGUUGUGAGCUACCUGUGUGGGUGCUGAGAAUCUAGGUCUCCCGCUAAAGCAGAAAGUGCUCCUAACCACUGUGCCACACCAUCUCUCCAGCACCCCUCCCCCUUCUUGGAUUUUGGUGAGUUUAACUUGGGAAGCUAGAGCUUCUGAAAGCUACCUACGCAACCCUGAGCUGGAGGUUUCCAGUGUUCAUCAUCUCACAUUCAAGAAGCGUGGAAAAGCAAGGAAGAGGAGCAGGCAGACAGGUGUAGUGUUAGAAUAUGGAGAAUGUGAGAAAAGGCUGAGGCUGGGGGAGAGCUCUGAGGAAGGAGCCAUGCCUGCUGGGCUUGUACGGAGGGUGAGGUAAUUGCACAGAGGCUGAGGUAAUUGCACAGAGGCUAUUUUAGAGCUGGUUCACUUCUGAGUGUACCAUGGUCCAAACCAGUAUGAGUCUCAGACCAACUCAAGAGUUUCUGUGCCCUUUCAGGAAAGGGGCUACAUUUCUGGUUCAUGAUCCACCAUGGGCCCACCCUUACUCUUAAAGAGAGUUCUCUCCUGUCUCAAGGCUUUGUAUAAAAAUCCUUAAAGAGGCUUUAUUGACCGGCUACCUGGCUCUUUGCCUCAUUUUCUAACUUCUACUCAAAAGAAGGCAGAUGUGAUGCUUCAAGCCGCGGCGGCCAUAUUGGACUACAAGGCCCUCUUUAACAACAUACCUAAGAACUAAAAACAGAACGACAACGGAAGCUGGGAACCCUGGGUCCUGAAGGGACACACACAGCCUGUCCUGCUCUGGUUACUCCAGACAGUUUCUGUAAGAAACAGAUGAGAACAAUCAUUUAGGUUGCUGGUGUCAGACCGGUGUCCAACAUCCAGAAAAUUCCUAACUGAGGAGACCAUUCAUCAUAGAAAUAAAUGCAGCUCCUCCCACUGUGCAACUUCCUGAGGAAGAAAUAGAUGGAUCCAAGGAAGCAAAAAAAAUCACCAGGAAUGAUCAACGCAACUGCAUCCCCAGAGCAAGCGUCUUAGGAACUGGGUAGUUACUCAUCUGUAGCUUUUCCACAUUCUUCGAGACGAAAGACGUUUCGUAUGGCUGCUUUGAAGUAACUUAGCAUUAGCCAGAUAACUAUUUUUAAACACGGGUGUGCAUGUAUAUGCAUGUCGGAGUGUAUGUCCAGGUGCGCAUGCCCACAUGCAUGCAGCAUGUGUUUGGAGCAGAGGACCUUAGGGGCCAUCCCUCAGAAAUGCAGUCCACCUCCUUUCGAGGCAGCUUCUCGAACUGGUCUGGAGCUCACCAGCUGGGCUACACUGCUGGCCAGCAGCCCCGGGAUGCUCCCUCUCUGCCUCCAAGACUGAGGUUGUAUGUUGCCAUGGUCUCUGGCAUUUCUACGGAGACCCUGGAGAUUGAGCUCAGGCCCCAUGCUCAUGUGGCAAGCAGUUUACCAUCUGUCAUCUCCCUGUGACUUUUACUUUUGAACUCUAUGGCUUAUAUCAUGAAGUUUGCAACUCUGUGUACGUGAACUCAGCUCAGUGAAAGGUAAACAAGUAAAAGACAAUAGUAAAGGAGCAUGGUGCGUGCCGGGUGGGGACUGUGUAUAUAAUUUUUGUGACCCUUACAACAGUUCUAUGAGGUUGACAUUGGGUUCGCUGCCAAUAAGGAAAUUAGGGGAAGUGGGGUUACCAGGAAGGUAAGUAACUCUCCUCGGGUCUCUCAGACACCAACAAGAUUGGAUUAAAUCUGUCUGCUUCCUCAUGCUGUGCUAUGACCCUUGACCUCACUGUGCUUCGAAGGCAGUGACACUUCCCUGGGUCUACUAAGAAGUAAAUGACAUCCUCCAUGAGAUGUAUCAUGAGAAACUGUUUGUGGGUGACUUUUAUUCCACAAAUGGUACACAGAAGUCCGUGCUCCCAAUGGGAAUGUGGCUGUACUUGGAAACAAGAACUUUGUGGUUAUAAUUAGUCUAGAGGAGGCCAUGUUAGAGCAGGGAGAGCUCUAGUCAGUAACUACUGUCCAUCAUAAGGGAACUCUGGAUGCAGAGGCACAUAAGGGGGAGCAGCACAUGAGUGAGUGUGGAGAGAGGUUGGCAAGCAUCUACAAGCCACAGAAUGCACCAGAUGACAUGUGGCCACCAGGGGCUGAAAGUAACUAGGAAGGACAGUCCCCACAAGCCCCUGGAAUCAGAAGAGCCCUGCUUAUUCCUUGGUGUUAGAUUUCUGGCCUUCAUAAGUGCAUAAAACAAAACAAAAUUGCUGUGCCAACAAAGGGUCUGUAUUUGUGGCCAUGUGCCACAGUCCUGGGAAACUGAGAGGAAAGUGAGUCGCUGGGUUUCAGUAGUCACGUAUUGGCUGAGUAUAACACUGUGCCAUAUUCUAUCGUAAGAAUGGGAUACUGGCCAGAGGGACCGGUAAGCUGCCCAGUACCUGCUCCUGCCUGUUCCAGAAAUGCCCCGAGAAGAUGAGAGGGACUAAGGCUGGCGGCUGGAGUGUGGGAGGAAGAGUCAGUGUGGUGGACAGCCAGAAGCAGACAGCUGAGCUGGGCCAGGAAACAAAACGGUUCCUGCACAGAGAUGCAGAUGCCCCCAUCACUGAACUGGGAAGAGCUCAAGAGUUUCCUCCCCAGUUGCCCUCAACAGACUGAGGAAGGUAAACCAACUUGGUCUCGUGUCUGGGUUCUGAGCGUCUGCUGCAUUUGGACCAACUCAAACCUUCUGAGUAGAGAUUGGCUCUAGUCUCUGAUUUUGUACAAGGCCAAGGGUCUUGUUAAUGAGUUUAUUAAAAGUCCAGUCAGCUGAAGCAAAUGCUUAAAAUCAUGGGGGAGACAAUUACUCAAACAGUACACCAUGAAAAGUGUGAAGUCAUUAGCAACAGAGAUAAGGCCAAAUGAACGUUCUUCUUAAGAUGAAACUAGGCUGAGGAAAAGGGCAGAAUGGCGUCUCGGCUCCAGUGCCUUCUCCUUGUUUGGCUUGUCUCACAGUUUGAGCAACUUCAUUAAGGUUCAACCUCUAUCCUUACAGUGUCAGUCACUGUGGGAGAUAAAAACAAAACCAGUUCAUUCCCGUUGGGGACUUUGUAAAUCUGUGAUCAACACUAUGGGAAUAGUUCUUUUGUCUUUUUAAUACCAGACCCUUCCCUUUCCAGUGGAACGCUCUCAAACAACUGGAAUUUAGCUAACCAGUGCCCAGUCCCCUGCUAUUUUGCUCUGUGUGUACAGGUGCUUGUGUGUG
rnacentral:sRNA from 1 species